rnacentral:ncRNA from 1 species
CAAAGGUUUGGUCCUGACUUUAUUAUCAACUUUAGCUAAAUUUACACAUGCAAGUAUCCGCACCCCUGUGAGAAUGCCCUACAGUUCCCUGCUUGGGAACAAGGAGCUGGUAUCAGGCACAACCCCCUUAAGCCCAUGACACCUUGCUUAGCCACACCCUCAAGGGAACUCAGCAGUGAUAAACAUUAAGCCAAUAAGUGAAAACUUGACUUAGUUAAAGCUAAGAGGGUCGGUAAAACUCGUGCCAGCCACCGCGGUUAUACGAGAGACCCAAGUUGUUAGACAUCGGCGUAAAGAGUGGUUAAGAUUCUUAUCCAGGACUAAAGCCGAACGCCCUCAGAGCCGUUAUACGCACCCGAAGGUAAGAAGCCCAAUCACGAAAGUGGCUUUAUAACAUCCGAACCCACGAAAGCUAUGACACAAACUGGGAUUAGAUACCCCACUAUGCCUAGCCAUAAACAUUGAUAGUAAACUACCCCUUCUAUCCGCCCGGGGACUACGAGCACCAGCUUGAAACCCAAAGGACUUGGCGGUGCUUUAGACCCACCUAGAGGAGCCUGUUCUAGAACCGAUUACCCCCGUUCAACCUCACCUUUCCUUGUCUCUCCCGCCUAUAUACCACCGUCGUCAGCUUACCCUGUGAAGGACCUAUAGUAAGCAAAAUUGGCACAGCCCAAAACGUCAGGUCGAGGUGUAGCGCAUGGAAAGGGAAGAAAUGGGCUACAUUCCAUAAUGAUAAGGAAUUACGAAUGAUCACACUGAAACACGUAUCUGAAGGAGGAUUUAGCAGUAAGCAGAAAAUAGAGCGUUCCGCUGAAACCGGCCCUGAAGCGCGCACACAGCCGGUCACUCUCACACAGCUUCCACCACCCAAUAACUUAAAACUUUUCAACUGCAAAGGGGAGGCAAGUCGUAACAUGGUAAGUGUACCGGAAGGUGCACUUGGAAAAA